GAUGAACGCUGGCGGCGUGCUUAACACAUGCAAGUCGAGCGAAGCGCUUUACUUUGAUUUCUUCGGAUUGAAAAGUGUUGCGACUGAGCGGCGGACGAGUGAGUAACGCGUGGGCAACCUGCCUCAUACAGGGGGAUAACAGUUAGAAAUGACUGCUAAUACCGCAUAAGACCACAGUACCGCAUGGUAUAGUGGUAAAAACUCCGGUGGUAUGAGAUGGGCCCCGCGUCUGAUUAGGUAGUUGGUGGGGUAACGGCCUACCAAGCCGACGAUCAGUAGCCGACCUGAGAGGGUGACCGGCCACAUUGGGACUGAGACACGGCCCAGACUCCUACGGGAGGCAGCAGUGGGGAAUAUUGGGCAAUGGGGCGCAAGCCUGACCCAGCAACGCCGCGUGAAGGAAGAAGGGCUUUCGGGUUGUAAACUUCUUUUGUCGGGGACGAAACAAUGACGGUACCUGACGAAUAAAG
rnacentral:rRNA from 1 species